GCCUGGGUGGCUCAGUCGGUUGAGCGUCCACUUUGGCUCAGGUCAUGAUCUCACAGUUCGUGGGUUUGAAUCCCAUGUCAGGCU
rnacentral:tRNA from 1 species